rnacentral:misc_RNA from 1 species
AAAAUAUGAUACCCCUUUUUUGAAAUCAAAGGAUUUUCACAGGAUCUUGAUUCCCACUUUUUGUCUUUAUGUAUGAGUCUCUUUGCAGCUGUUGAAGCAGAAAUCUGUUUUGAAAGUUUGGUGGUUGGUCAAAGACAAAUCUUGGAUCCCUUUUGGGUAUGAACUGAAGAUUUAGGGUUUUCUACAUGUAUUUGGUGUGGAAAGGUGAUUGCUUUUUGGGUCAAAUUUAUUUGAUGAAGUGAGUAUUUGGGGGUUUUUAUAAAUGGUUUUGGUGUAGAAAGGUGA